CAGGCCUAACACAUGCAAGUCGAGCGGAUGAGAAGAGCUUGCUCUUCGAUUCAGCGGCGGACGGGUGAGUAAUACCUAGGAAUCUGCCUGGUAGUGGGGGACAACGUUUCGAAAGGAACGCUAAUACCGCAUACGUCCUACGGGAGAAAGCAGGGGACCUUCGGGCCUUGCGCUAUCAGAUGAGCCUAGGUCGGAUUAGCUAGUUGGUGAGGUAAUGGCUCACCAAGGCGACGAUCCGUAACUGGUCUGAGAGGAUGAUCAGUCACACUGGAACUGAGACACGGUCCAGACUCCUACGGGAGGCAGCAGUGGGGAAUAUUGGACAAUGGGCGAAAGCCUGAUCCAGCCAUGCCGAAUCACUAGUG
rnacentral:rRNA from 1 species